rnacentral:rRNA from 1 species
AAAUUAGGGUUUGAUUCCGGAGAAGGAGCCUGAGAAACGGCUGCUACUUCUAAGGAAGGCAGCAGGCGCGUAAAUUACUCAAUGUCCAAAGGAUGAAGUAGUGACAAAAAAUAACAAAAGCGGCCAUCAAAUGGUUGCUUAUUGGAAUGAGAGAGAUUUAAAAUCACCAUCGAGUAGCGAGUGGAGGGCAAGUCAGGUGCCAGCAGCCGCGGUAAUUCCAGCUCCACGAGCGUAUAUUAAUGCUGUUGACGUUAAAAAGUUCGUAGUCUAACUUCGUGCUGGCUUCGACCUGGCCCGCCACAUUGGCGUGUGCCGUUCGAACCGGUAUUUUCUCCAGAUUGAGGACCCUGGGCAUUAAUUUGCUCGGGUGCACCUUAUCUGGUCGCUUACUUUGCCUAAAUAGGAGCGCUCAACGCAACGCUUACGCGUGUUGAACUUCUCGCAUGGAAUAAUGGAACAAGACUUUCUCCUUGUUUUGUUGGUUUUAAAGGAAAAAGUAAUGAUAAAUGGAAGCGGGUGGGGCGAUUUGUAUUUGCUGGCCAGAGGUGAAAUUCGAGGAUUCAGCAAAGACACACUACUGCGAAGGCAUCUCGCAAGGACGCUUUCGUCGAUCAAGAACGAUAGUCGAGGGAUCGAAGAUGAUCAGAUACCGUCGUAGUCUCGACCGUAAACGAUGCCGACCAGGGAUUCGAGGAAGAUACUCGAAUGUCUCCUUGAGAACCUUAUUGAGAAAUCAGAGUUUUUGGGUUCGUGGGGGAGUAUGGUUGCAAAGCUGAAACUUAAAGGAAUUGACGGAAGGGCACCACCAGGAGUGGAGCUUGCGGCUUAAUUUGACCCAACACGGGAAAACUCACCAGGUCCAGACAAAGGAAGGAUUGCCAGAUUGAGAGCUCUUGCAAGAUUCUUUGGUUGGUGGUGCAUGGCCGUUCUUAGUUGGUGGAGUGAUUUGUCUGGUUAAUUCCGUUAACGAACGAGACCUUCUCUUGCUAAUUAGUCUGCUCAUCCUCUGUCCGGUGAAGGGGGAAGUGCGUCGGGAGGUAAAAUGCCUGGCCACGGCCCUUGGAUCCAUGAUGCGAUGAACUUUGGACUUCUUAGAGGGACUUUCGAUUUCCAAGUCGAAGGAAGAUGGAGGCAAUAACAGGUCUGUGAUGCCCUUAGAUGUCCUGGGCCGCACGCGAGCUACAAUGAAGAGUUCAACAAGCAUUUCCUUGGCCGAGAGGUCCGGGUAAUCUUUGAAUGCUCUUCGUGCUGGGGAUUGUCGUUUGCAAUUUUUCGACAUGGACGAGGAAUUCCUAGUAGACGCAAGUCAUCAGCUUGCGUCGAUUACGUCCCUGCCCUUUGUACACACCUCCCGUCGCUCCUACCGAUGGCUGAGACUGUGAGGACACCGGACCGCAGCGGCGUUUCGGGGGCAACUCCGUUGCCGCAGCGGGAAGUCGUUCAAACAUUCUCUGUUAGAGGAAGGAGAAGUCGUAACAAGGUA